GAGUAAUAUGUUUUUCUUUUCAAUUCUGUAUUUCUUUUUCCUGGAAAAAAAGGAGCCUCUUAGCAGCAAUUCACUUCAAUUACAACCUAAACAGACCAUCAAAAAAGAAUGACAAAGGAGAGUGCCAAUUCAAUGUCAACUAUCCCAAGCAGAAAUAUGGGGAAGCAACUGUGAAAGAGGUAAAAUCUCAGCAGAAUUUUGAUUAUGUUAAAGAAAUUUAUCAAACAAUGCUUUGUACACCAAGAAAACAACUUAAGAUUGUAGAAGAUGAGCUGCAAGCAAGAAUUCCAAAACCAAUGUCUUCAUCAUUUGAUUUGGAAUCAAAAGCAGAAGCAAUUACAAAACACAAACAAAGGAAGGAAAUGGGGAUAACGAUUGUAGGGCCAACAUGUUCAGAGCAAGUGCUGCAAAAUGAGAUCAA